AUUGAACGCUGGCGGCAGGCCUAACACAUGCAAGUCGAGCGGAUGACGGGAGCUUGCUCCUUGAUUCAGCGGCGGACGGGUGAGUAAUGCCUAGGAAUCUGCCUGGUAGUGGGGGACAACGUUUCGAAAGGAACGCUAAUACCGCAUACGUCCUACGGGAGAAAGCAGGGGACCUUCGGGCCUUGCGCUAUCAGAUGAGCCUAGGUCGGAUUAGCUAGUUGGUGGGGUAAUGGCUCACCAAGGCGACGAUCCGUAACUGGUCUGAGAGGAUGAUCAGUCACACUGGAACUGAGACACGGUCCAGACUCCUACGGGAGGCAGCAGUGGGGAAUAUUGGGCAAUGGGCGCAAGCCUGACCCAGCAACGCCGCGUGAAGGAAGAAGGCUUUCGGGUUGUAAACUUCUUUUAUGAGGGACGAAAAAAAUGACGGUACCUCAUGAAUAAGCCACGGCUAACUACGUGCCAGCAGCCGCGGUAAUACGUAGGUGGCAAGCGUUGUUCGGAAUUACUGGGCGUAAAGCGUGCGCAGGCGGUUAUGUAAGACAGAUGUGAAAUCCCCGGGCUCAACCUGGGAACUGCAUUUGUGACUGCAUAGCUNGAGUACGGCAGAGGGGGAUGGAAUUCCGCGUGUAGCAGUGAAAUGCGUAGAUAUGCGGAGGAACACCGAUGGCGAAGGCAAUCCCCUUGCUGUACUGACGCUCAUGCACGAAAGCGUGGGGAGCAAACAGGAUUAGAUACCCUGGUAGUCCACGCCCUUAAACGAUGUCAACUGGUUGUUGGGUUUUNCACUGACUCAGUAACGAAGCUAACGCGUGAAGUUGACGCCUGGGGAGUACGGCCGCAAGGUUCAAACUCAAAGGAAUUGACGGGGACCCGCACAAGCGGUGGAUGAUGUGGUUUAAUCGAUGCAACGCGAAAAACCUUACCCACCUUUGACAUGUACGGAAUCCUUUAGAGAUAGAGGAGUGCUCGAAAGAGAGCCGUAACACAGGUGCUGCAUGGCUGUCGUCAGCUCGUGUCGUGAGAUGUUGGGUUAAGUCCCGCAACGAGCGCAACCCUUGUCAUUAGUUGCUACAUUCAGUUGGGCACUCUAAUGAGACUGCCGGUGACAAACCGGAGGAAGGUGGGGAUGACGUCAAGUCCUCAUGGCCCUUAUAGGUGGGGCUACACACGUCAUACAAUGGCUGGUACAGAGGGUUGCCAACCCGCGAGGGGGAGCCAAUCCCAUAAAGCCAGUCGUAGUCCGGAUCGCAGUCUGCAACUCGACUGCGUGAAGUCGGAAUCGCUAGUAAUCGCGGAUCAGAAUGUCGCGGUGAAUACGUUCCCGGGUCUUGUACACACCGCCCGUCACACCAUGGGAGCGGGUUCUGCCAGAAGUAGUUAGCCUAACCGCAAGGAGGGCGAUUACCACGGCAGGGUUCGUGACUGGGGUG
rnacentral:rRNA from 1 species